rnacentral:rRNA from 1 species
GACGAACGCUGGCGGCGUGCUUAACACAUGCAAGUCGAACGAUGAUGCUGGAGCUUGCUCCAGUUGAUUAGUGGCGAACGGGUGAGUAACACGUGAGCAAUCUGCCCUUGACUCUGGGAUAACUGCGGGCAACUGUAGCUAAUACCGGAUACUUUCACCGGAAGGCAUCUUCUGGUGAUGAAAGAAUUUCGGUCAGGGAUGAGCUCGCGGCCUAUCAGCUUGUUGGGGAGGUAACGGCUCACCAAGGCGACGACGGGUAACCGGCCUGAGAGGGUGACCGGUCACACUGGGACUGAGACACGGCCCAGACUCCUACGGGAGGCAGCAGUGGGGAAUAUUGCACAAUGGGCGCAAGCCUGAUGCAGCAACGCCGCGUGAGGGAUGAAGGCCUUCGGGUUGUAAACCUCUUUUAGCAGGGAAGAAGCGAAAGUGACGGUACCUGCAGAAAGAGCACCGGCUAACUACGUGCCAGCAGCCGCGGUAA